UGGGGAAUAUUGCGCAAUGGCCGAAAGGCUGACGCAGCGACGCCGCGUGGGGGAUGAAGCAUUUCGGUGUGUAAACCCCUGUUGCCCGGGACGAACAAGCAGAUUUUUCUGCUCUGACGGUACCGGGUGAGGAAGCACCGGCUAACUCCGUGCCAGCAGCCGCGGUAAUACGGAGGGUGCGAGCGUUGUCCGGAAUCACUGGGCGUAAAGGGCGCGUAGGCGGUCUGCUAAGCGUGCGGUGAAAGCCCGGGGCUCAACCCCGGGUCUGCCGUGCGAACUGGUGGACUAGAGCACUGUAGAGGCAGGUGGAAUUCCGGGUGUAGUGGUGAAAUACGUAGAUAUCUGGAAGAACACCAGUUGCGAAGGCGGUCUCUUGGUCCGACACUGACGCUGAGGCGCGAAAGCGUGGGGAGCAAACA
rnacentral:rRNA from 1 species